rnacentral:rRNA from 1 species
GUGUCAGCAGCCGCGGUAAUACGUAGGUGGCAAGCGUUGUCCGGAAUUAUUGGGCGUAAAGCGUGCGCAGGCGGUUUCUUAAGUCUGAUGUGAAAGCCCCCGGCUUAACCCUGGCGGUUCAUUGGAAACUGCGAGACUUGAGUGCAGAAGAGGAAAGCGGAAUUCCAAGUGUAGCGGUGAAAUGCGUAGAGAUUUGGAGGAACACCAGUGGCGAAGGCGACUUUCUGGACUGCAACUGACGCUGAGGCGCGAAAGCAUGGGGAGCAAACAGGAGUAG